rnacentral:rRNA from 1 species
UUUAAUUGAAGAGUUUGAUCAUGGCUCAGAUUGAACGCUGGCGGCAGGCCUAACACAUGCAAGUCGAGCGGAAACGGCAGUAUUGAAGCUUCGGUGGAUUUACUGGACGUCGAGCGGCGGACGGGUGAGUAACGGCUGGGAACCUGCCCUGAC